rnacentral:rRNA from 1 species
GACGAACGCUGGCGGCGUGCCUAACACAUGCAAGUCGAACGAAGUGGCGAACGGGUGAGUAACGCGUAAUCAACCUGCUCAUCAGCGGGGGACAACAGUUGGAAACGACUGCUAAUACCGCAUAUUGAAGGUGGGGCUUGCGUCUGAUUAGCUAGUUGGAGGGGUAACGGCCCACCAAGGCGAUGAUCAGUAGCCGGCCUGAGAGGGUGAACGGCCACAAUGGGACUGAGAAACGGGCCAGAAUCCUUCGGGAGGCAGCAAGGGGGAAUCUUCCGCAAUGGACGAAAGUCUGACGGAGCCACGCCGCGUGAGUGAUGACGGCCUUCGGGUUGUAAAGCUCUGUUAGUCGGGACGCGGUACCGGAAUAGAAAGCCACGGCUAACUACGUGCCAGCAGCCGCGGUAAUUC